rnacentral:rRNA from 1 species
CUAGGAUGAACGCUGGCGGCGUGCUUAACACAUGCAAGUCGAACGAAGCAGCUUUCUUGCUGCAAGAAAGUUGACUUAGUGGCGGACGGGUGAGUAACGCGUGGGUAACCUGCCUCAUACAGGGGGAUAACAGUUGGAAACGACUGCUAAGACCGCAUAACCCGCUAGUGUCGCAUGACACGGACGGAAAAUAUUUAUAGGUAUGAGAUGGGCCCGCGUCUGAUUAGCUAGUUGGUAAGGUAACGGCUUACCAAGGCGACGAUCAGUAGCCGACUUGAGAGAGUGAUCGGCCACAUUGGGACUGAGACACGGCCCAAACUCCUACGGGAGGCAGCAGUGGGGAAUAUUGGACAAUGGGGGAAACCCUGAUCCAGCGAACCGCCGCGUGAGUGAAGAAGUAUUUCGGUAUGUAAAGCUCUAUCAGCAGGGAAGAUAAUGACAGUACCUGACUAAGAAGCCCCGGCUAACUACGUGCCAGCCGCAGC